rnacentral:tRNA from 3 species
GGUCUAUUGAGGUAAAGGCUAACCUGCCCGACUGUCUCUUGGGUACUGCGGGUUCGAUUCCCGCAUAGACCG